rnacentral:rRNA from 1 species
UACGAAGGGGGCUAGCGUUGCUCGGAAUUACUGGGCGUAAAGCGCACGUAGGCGGAUUCUUAAGUCAGGGGUGAAAUCCUGGAGCUCAACUCCAGAACUGCCUUUGAUACUGGGAAUCUUGAGUCCGGGAGAGGUGAGUGGAACUCCGAGUGUAGAGGUGAAAUUCGUAGAUAUUCGGAAGAACACCAGUGGCGAAGGCGGCUCACUGGCCCGGUACUGACGCUGAGGUGCGAAAGCGUGGGGAGCAAACAG